rnacentral:rRNA from 1 species
UUGCGGUUAAAAAGCUCGUAGUUGGAUUUCUGUUGAGGAUGACCGGUCCGCUCUUUGAGCGCGUAUCUGGUUCAGCCUUGGCAUCCUCUUGGGGAACGCUACUGUGCUUGAUUGCAUGGGGCGGUAUUCAAGACUUUUACUUUGAGGAAAUUAGAGUGUUCACUGCAAGCGUUAGCAAUUGAAUACAUUAGCAUGGAAUAAUAAUAUAGGACCUUGGUACUAUUUUGUUGGUUUCUAGAACUAAGGUAAUGAUUAAUAGGGACAAUUGGGGGCAUUUGUAUUAACGCGUCAGAGGUGGAAUUCUUAGAUUGCGUUACGACGAACUACUGCGAAAGCAUUUGCCAAGGAUGUUUUCAUUGAUCAAGAACGAAAGUAUGGGGAUCGAAGACGCUUAGAUACCGUCGUAGUCUAUACCAUAAACUAUGCCAACUAGAGAUUGGAGGUCAUUCUCUUUAUGACUCCUUCAGCACCUUAUGAGAAAUCAAAGUCUUUGGGUUCCGGGGGGAGUAUGGUCGCAAGGCUGAAACUUAAAGGAAUUGACGGAAAGGCACCACCAGGAGUGGAGCCUGCGGCUUAAUUUGACUC